GAACCUGCAUUGAUCUAGAUAGAGACACGACCGCUGGCACGGUGUCUGCGUACCUGUGCCUGGGGGGUUGGAGGGGCGGGCAGGUCAAACCUGUUAACCUCUCCAUUACAGAACACCUCAUUGCGAGGGACAAUGUGCUGCUCAGCACACCUUGAGGCUCGCAGACAGACACCCUGAUCCCACAGGCACAACGUAGCUUUCAGCACAGAGCAAACAUUUGAUCCGACUGGGGAUCAGCAAACUAACCCUCACCCCCCAUUAGCUUGUCUCACUCCAUUGCUUAUUUUUCACGGCGCACAUAUUGAGCUGAUGGCAACGUGGAGAAAAUGUUUUUUUCUGAGCGAUGACACACAGUCCAGCCACAAAUUCCAGACUUCAAAAGAGAGAAAGAGACAUUAUAUGUGUAUUCAGGGUGUUACUGGAUUUAUAGGAGCAGAAAGUGAAGCCUUUCAGUCCCAGUCCAGUGUUGUGGGAUUUAGGGACAACUUGUUUGUUGCUGCAGAGCAGUCUGUGGUGUUAACCCGUGACCCCCCGUGCCCUUUGACCCCCAGGACGACAGCUCCAUCCACGCGUUAGGGAGAAGGGCUGUCACAGCGGAAACAUCUAGACCACAGGCAGGGCAUCUGAAGAGGGACAGAGAGACAAUUAGGGGCAGUGUGGCUCCCAAGAUCAAAAACACCACCAGAGUUAAGAGUGUCAGGCUACCGGACAUAUAAUCUGUCUGCAGGAAAAGUGUGUGUGGAUGCCACAGGCUGCAGAGGCAGGAUUAAGGAGUCGGCCUCUCUGAAGGUUCCUUGGAGCAGUUGAUUAAGCACGCACAGAUAGUCGUGUACGCACACGUUCGGUGUGGAGGCUGACGCUGCUCCCAUGUGCCCCGGCGACCGAACCCUCGCACCCAUCGCCUCAACGGCGGCCGCAGAGGCCCGUGGCAGCGUCAGGCUCCAGCAGGAAGCGUGCAGGAGAAGUUGCAGUGGACGCAGUGGUACGGCCGGACAUCAGAGUGGGUGCGAAUGUGUUUGCGCAACAUGCUGGGCUUCUUACAACGGAUCCCACAUUCCUCACAGAUGUAUUUACCUCGUCCACGCCCAC